rnacentral:rRNA from 1 species
ACGUACACUCCUACGGGAGGCAGCAGUGGGGAAUAUUGCACAAUGGGCGCAAGCCUGAUGCAGCCAUGCCGCGUGUAUGAAGAAGGCCUUCGGGUUGUAAAGUACUUUCAGCGGGGAGGAAGGCGAUAAGGUUAAUAACCUUGUCGAUUGACGUUACCCGCAGAAGAAGCACCGGCUAACUCCGUGCCAGCAGCCGCGGUAAUACGGAGGGUGCAAGCGUUAAUCGGAAUUACUGGGCGUAAAGCGCACGCAGGCGGUCUGUCAAGUCGGAUGUGAAAUCCCCGGGCUCAACCUGGGAACUGCAUUCGAAACUGGCAGGCUAGAGUCUUGUAGAGGGGGGUAGAAUUCCAGGUGUAGCGGUGAAAUGCGUAGAGAUCUGGAGGAAUACCGGUGGCGAAGGCGGCCCCCUGGACAAAGACUGACGCUCAGGUGCGAAAGCGUGGGGAGCAAACAGGAUUAGAUACCCUUGUAGUCCC